CCUACGGGUGGCAGCAGUGAGGAAUAUUGGUCAAUGGGCGGGAGCCUGAACCAGCCAAGUCGCGUGAGGGAAGAAGGUACUGAGUAGUGUAAACCUCUUUUGCCAGGGGACAAAGGCGGCCACGGGUGGCCGUAAGAGGGUACCUGGAGAAAAAGCAUCGGCUAACUCCGUGCCAGCAGCCGCGGUAAGACGGAGGAUGCGAGCGUUAUCCGGAUUUAUUGGGGUUCAAGGGUGCGCAGGCGGCGUGUCAAGUCAGCGGGAAAAUGUCGGGGCUCAACCCCGGCCGGCCGGUGAAACUGGCGUGCUCGAGUUGGCGAGAAGUAUGCUGAAUUCGUGGUGUAGCGGUGACAUGCAUAGCUAUCACG
rnacentral:rRNA from 1 species